UUCCAAAGAUGGGAAUCGAACCCACAAUGUUCCGCUUACCGGGCAGAUGUCAUGUCCACUAGGCUUCGA
rnacentral:tRNA from 1 species